rnacentral:misc_RNA from 1 species
CUAUCAACGGUCGUUACACCAAAGCUCAGCGAGAGAUUUACGACCUGGUGCUGGAAGCGCAGAUGGCCUGUGUCGAGAUGGUCCGGCCCGGCACGACGCAUGACCAACUCAAGAGUCACUCAAUCGAGGUGCUGACAAAAGGCAUGGUGCGUCUGGGAUUACUCAAAGGCGACCCGGCUGAGUUGAUCAGAGAUAAGAAGUAUGAGCAGUUUUACAUGCACGGACUGGGACACAUGCUGGGCAUCGAUGUCCACGAUGUCGGCCGCUACUACAAUAAUAAGGAGUCGCGCGCUUUAGAACCGGGCGUGGUGAUGACAGUCGAG